rfam:Eimeria acervulina, Houghton, WGS project CBTS01000000 data, contig: Eah_scaff618_1
UUUUAGGCUUCACUAGAAGCCACCCUUAUAUAUAUAUACACAUAU